AUGAACGCUAGCUACAGGCUUAACACAUGCAAGUCGAGGGGCAGCAUGGUCUUAGCUUGCUAAGGCCGAUGGCGACCGGCGCACGGGUGAGUAACACGUAUCCAACCUGCCGUCUACUCUUGGACAGCCUUCUGAAAGGAAGAUUAAUACAAGAUGGCAUCAUGAGUCCACAUGUUCACAUGAUUAAAGGUAUUCCGGUAGACGAUGGGGAUGCGUUCCAUUAGAUAGUAGGCGGGGUAACGGCCCACCUAGUCUUCGAUGGAUAGGGGUUCUGAGAGGAAGGUCCCCCACAUUGGAACUGAGACACGGUCCAAACUCCUACGGGAGGCAGCAGUGAGGAAUAUUGGUCAAUGGGCGAGAGCCUGAACCAGCCAAGUAGCGUGAAGGAUGACUGCCCUAUGGGUUGUAAACUUCUUUUAUAAAGGAAUAAAGUCGGGUAUGCAUACCCGUUUGCAUGUACUUUAUGAAUAAGGAUCGGCUAACUCCGUGCCAGCAGCCGCGGUAAUACGGAGGAUCCGAGCGUUAUCCGGAUUUAUUGGGUUUAAAGGGAGCGUAGAUGGAUGUUUAAGUCAGUUGUGAAAGUUUGCGGCUCAACCGUAAAAUUGCAGUUGAUACUGGAUAUCUUGAGUGCAGUUGAGGCAGGCGGAAUUCGUGGUGUAGCGGUGAAAUGCUUAGAUAUCACGAAGAACUCCGAUUGCGAAGGCAGCCUGCUAAGCUGCAACUGACAUUGAGGCUCGAAAGUGUGGGUAUCAAACAGGAUUAGAUACCCUGGUAGUCCACACGGUAAACGAUGAAUACUCGCUGUUUGCGAUAUACGGCAAGCGGCCAAGCGAAAGCGUUAAGUAUUCCACCUGGGGAGUACGCCGGCAACGGUGAAACUCAAAGGAAUUGACGGGGGCCCGCACAAGCGGAGGAACAUGUGGUUUAAUUCGAAGCAACGCGAAGAACCUUACCUAGACUUGACAUCUCCUGCAUUACUCUUAAUCGAGGAAGUCCCUUCGGGGACAGGAUGACAGGUGGUGCAUGGUUGUCGUCAGCUCGUGUCGUGAGAUGUUGGGUUAAGUCCCGCAACGAGCGCAACCCUUAUCCUUUGUUGCCAGCGGUCCGGCCGGGAACUCAAAGGAGACUGCCAGUGAUAAACUGGAGGAAGGUGGGGAUGACGUCAAAUCAGCACGGCCCUUACGUCCGGGGCUACACACGUGUUACAAUGGGGGGUACAGAGGGCCGCUACCACGCGAGUGGAUGCCAAUCCCCAAAACCUCUCUCAGUUCGGACUGGAGUCUGCAACCCGACUCCACGAAGCUGGAUUCGCUAGUAAUCGCGCAUCAGCCACGGCGCGGUGAAUACGUUCCCGGGCCUUGUACACACCGCCCGUCAAGCCAUGGGAGCCGGGGGUACCUGAAGUGCGUAACCGCGAGGAGCGCCCUAGGGUAAAACUGGUGACUGGGGCU
rnacentral:rRNA from 1 species